AUUGAACGCUGGCGGCAGGCCUAACACAUGCAAGUCGACCGAGUGGCGGACGGGUGAGUAAUGUCUGGGAAACUGCCUUAUGGAGGGGGAUAACUACUGGAAACGGUAGCUAAUACCGCAUACCAUCGGAUGUGCCCAGAUGGGAUUAGCUAGUCGGUGGGGUAAAGGCUCACCUAGGCGACGAUCCCUAGCUGGUCUGAGAGGAUGACCAGCCAAAUGGGAACUGAGAAACGGUCCAGAAUCCGACGGGAGGAAGCAGUGGGGAAUAUUGCACAAUGGGCGCAAGCCUGAUGCAGCCAUGCCGCGGGUAUGAAGAAGGCCUUCGGGUUGUAAAGUACUUUCAGCGGAGAGGCGUUACCCGCAGAAGAAGCACCGGCUAACUCCGUGCCAGCAGCCGCGGUAAUAC
rnacentral:rRNA from 1 species